rnacentral:rRNA from 1 species
GAUGAACGCUAGCGAUAGGCUUAACACAUGCAAGUCGAGGGGCAGCAUGGUCUUAGCUUGCUAAGACUGAUGGCGACCGGCGCACGGGUGCGUAACGCGUAUGCAACUUGCCUCACAGAGGGGGAUAACCCGUCGAAAGACGGACUAAUACCGCGUACACUCCAUCUUGGGCAUCCAAGGUAGAGGAAAUGAAAUUCGCUGUGAGAUAGGCAUGCGUCCCAUUAGCUAGUUGGUGAGGUAACGGCUCACCAAGGCGACGAUGGGUAGGGGAACUGAGAGGUUGAACCCCCACACUGGUACUGAGACACGGACCAGACUCCUACGGGAGGAAGCAGUGAGGAAUAUUGGUCAAUGGGCGAGAGCCUGAACCAGCCAAGUCGCGUGAAGGAUGACUGUCUUAUGGAUUGUAAACUUCUUUUAUACGGGAAUAACAAGAGUCACGUGUGACUCCCUGCAUGUACCGUAUGAAUAAGCAUCGGCUAACUCCGUG